GACGAACGCUGGCGGCGUGCUUAACACAUGCAAGUCGAACGAUGAUGCUCCAGCUUGCUGGGGUGGAUUAGUGGCGAACGGGUGAGUAACACGUGAGUAACCUGCCCUCUUCUUCGGGAUAAGCUUGGGAAACUGGGUCUAAUACUGGAUAUUCUGCAAUUGUCGCAUGGUGGUUGUGGGAAAGAUUUUUUGGUGGGGGAUGGGCUCGCGGCCUAUCAGCUUGUUGGUGGGGUGAUGGCCUACCAAGGCGUCGACGGGUAGCCGGCCUGAGAGGGUGACCGGCCACACUGGGACUGAGAUACGGCCCAGACUCCUACGGGAGGCAGCAGUGGGGAAUAUUGCACAAUGGGCGCAAGCUUGAUGCAGCGACGCCGCGUGAGGGAUGACGGCUUUCGGGUUGUAAACCUCUUUCGAUGGGGAACAAGGCCAUAUUUUUGUGUGGUUGAGGGUACCUGUAUAAGAAGCGCCGGCUAACUACGUG
rnacentral:rRNA from 1 species